CAGCAGUAGCCGCGGUAAUACGUAGGUGGCAAGCGUUGUCCGGAAUUAUUGGGCGUAAAGGGCUCGCAGGCGGUUCCUUAAGUCUGAUGUGAAAGCCCCCGGCUCAACCGGGGAGGGUCAUUGGAAACUGGGAAACUUGAGUGCAGAAGAGGAGAGUGGAAUUCCACGUGUAGCGGUGAAAUGCGUAGAGAUGUGGAGGAACACCAGUGGCGAAGGCGACUCUCUGGUCUGUAACUGACGCUGAGGAGCGAAAGCGUGGGGAGCGAACAGGAUUAGAUACCCCAGUAGUCCCUGUCUCUUAUAC
rnacentral:rRNA from 1 species